rfam:Populus trichocarpa scaffold_6_contig_35, whole genome shotgun sequence.
GGUCAUGCUUUUCCACAGCUUUCUUGAACUUCCUUGCCAUGCUUAACUUGUGUGUGUGUAUAGAUCACUAUAUAUCUGUAUAGUUAUACACAUUUAGCUAGCUAGCACCAUUGAAGCUCAAGAAAGCCGUGGGAGAACAUGGCAA